UAAUUUGUUUGGGGUAGAUCAUCAUCUAGUUGUGGCAUAUCUACACCUGACUGCUCAGAAUCACUAGUUUUCUUAACCCUGACUACAUCAUCCUUUAAAAAUGCAUAUCUCUCCCAAAAUAUAUAUGUGUAAACAUGGUUAACAAGAA
rfam:Populus trichocarpa isolate Nisqually-1 chromosome 6, whole genome shotgun sequence.